rnacentral:lncRNA from 1 species
CUGUAUCCCUGCCAUCCAGGACUUUUUGUUUUUAAGAAAGAGGCGAAGAGUGAAGAGAGCCCAUUAUUGAUGUACUACUACCCAGGCGAAAGACCUGUGUGAAGCGUCAGAGCGACCACCAGCUCUGUAGUGACACAAUGACAGAAGCUCUUCUUGGGGGAUGCUGGCUCUGAAACAUGUGGAACAUGUGCCAUUUUGGCUAAAUAACACUUCAGUUACAUGGUCCCUUUUAGUUAAAAUGUAUAUGAAAGUGUUAGUCGGUCAAUUAAGAAACCUAAUACCAAAACUUUUUAUUAAAGAUCAUACAUUAAAAAGAAGAAAAAAUAAAUAAAUAAAUAAAAACAAAACAAAAAACAAAAAAACCUCCAAAGUGUGAAUUAGUUUCACCUAGUCACCAUGCAUCUUGGACACAUACUUACCCACCAUGAACCUCCAGCUUACCAACACACGGAAAUGCACAGUCUAAACAGUACUACCGGUCCGAUGCCUCAAGGCAAAUAUGUAGAGAAUAAAUUCAAUCACAAUCUCAAGUGUCAGACAGCACAGAAAUGCAAGAAAGGAUGCCCUGAGAACUCCUGCCCAAAGCUCCCUUAGCUACUGUACUCAUCCACAGCGGCCGCCCAAGUCUGCCACUUCAACACUGUAUCUAAAACUUGAAAGGCACUGUCAAAAACCCUGGUGGGUUCCUAGCUUUAGGGAUCCAUCGUUAGAGUCAGUAAACAUGGCAACUCUGCCUCCGGGCAUGUGAUACGUCGCCAGCAGAGGCUUGCUAGCCCUUGCCACACAACGCUCAGCUUACUCAAAGCACUGCCAAGACAUGGCUGCCCUGAGACGGUUGCUUCACAGUAGCAUCUAAUCAACAGGCAGGUGCUAUGUGGGACCCGGAUCAGUUCAGAUUCCUGCAGCCCCAGGAAAGCAAGCCAGAGGUUUCCUCUUCUGCAGCUCUUUGUUCUUAACAGUCUAGCUGACAA